UCUUCGGGUGCGAAGAAGGCUCCACAGCCGAAACGUUGUGUUUUCUUUUAUCUCUUUUCAGCAUGGAAUAAACUUGUUCCUUUGCAGACAUGGAAAAUGACGCCUAAUUGCAGCCUCACUAUUUAAGAUUCCAUUCUUUUAUAAGAGGUGCUGCUGUUUGAAGUCGUGAACGUCGGAUGCUGGAGACUUCAAUCAGACUCUGGCUGGUUUCCAGCGGGCUCUGAGCAGGAGGUCUCGCCGCCAGCUGAGCUGGCUAAUUGAGACACUGGAGUGGGGGAACAGCUGCGCUCUUCCGGGAACACGCCUGUCCCCCUGCUGGAGUCCGGGCAUACAAUUACAAAUAUUGAUGUGGGCAAGGGAGAGGUCUCUCAGUCGCUGGCGUCCCCAGUGGGACCUGUAGCCUAGCAACAUCAGAAUCUCUUCCAGCUGAGAGCGUCGCCAUGGAAACAGCUCCCAUCGCUACAUGGCUUUUGAGGGUAGCUGGCACAGGACAGAUU
rnacentral:lncRNA from 1 species